AGUCGUAACAAGGUUUCCGUAGGUGAACCUGCGGAAGGAUCAUUGUCGAAUCCUGCGAAGCAGACGACCAGCGAACGUGUUCUUACAUCACGGCGUACGUACGUGGGAAACCACGCGACGGCGCCCCCGCACGAUGUCGGCAUGACCGCUCGUCGUGUGGAACACAACAACCCGGGCGCGAAAAGCGCCAAGGAAAACUUAAAAGAGGACAGCCCGCCCCUCUCGACGCCCCGUUCGCGGUGUACGCGGGAGGGGGUUGGGCGCCUGUACAAACAAAAACGACUCUCGGCAACGGAUAUCUCGGCUCUCGCAUCGAUGAAGAACGUAGCGAACUGCGAUACUUGGUGUGAAUUGCAGAAUCCCGUGAACCAUCGAGUCUUUGAACGCAAGUUGCGCCCGAAGCCACCAGGCCAAGGGCACGUCUGCCUGGGCGUCACGCAUCGCGUCGCCCCCCAUCAAUCCCGUGCGGUUCGAUGGGGGGCGGAAACUGGCCUCCCGUGCCCGUGUGCGGCUGGCCUAAAAUUGAGUCCCACGUGACGGACGCGACGACUUGUGGUGGUUGACUUCCUCAACUUGAGCGCUUGUCGUCGGGGCACCGUCGUACGUGGUGACUGUCCCGACCCUAUUGGCACGUGUCGUCAAGACCCGUGCCCACGACCGCGACCCCAGGUCAGGCGGGACUACCCGCUGAGUUUAAGCAUAUCAU
rnacentral:rRNA from 1 species